rnacentral:rRNA from 1 species
GUCCUACGGGCGCAGCAGUGAGGAAUAUUGGUCAAUGGGAGAGAUCCUGAACCAGCCAAGCCGCGUGGGGGAAGACGGCCCUAUGGGUUGUAAACCUCUUUUGUCGGAGAACAAAACCCGGGACGUGUCCCGGACUGCGUGUAUCCGAAGAAAAAGCAUCGGCUAACUCCGUGCCAGCAGCCGCGGUAAUACGGAGGAUCCGAGCGUUAUCCGGAUUUAUUGGGUUUAAAGGGAGCGUAGGUGGAUUGUUAAGUCAGUUGUGAAAGUUUGCGUCUCAACCGUCAAAUUGCAGUUGAAACUGUCAG